AUAGGCUCUGUGGCAGUAAGACUUAUUCUCAGCAGGGUCCCUCUAGGACAGACCAGUGGGCUAGCUGAAUCAUGACUGGUUUAGGAGACCAGUUCUUUCUCUGUCAUCAGGUUGGCCUGGACACAAAUUUAGAAAUGGAAAGAGCUUCAGGUCCUGGAAAUGCAAGAGGAGGUGACCUGGAUGUUCUGGGCUGUACUCUCCUCAGUAGAAGGUCCAAAGACUGUCUCUGUGUAUCAGCAGAGUGUCUGGGGUUUGCUCAUCUCCUUUAUGGGCAACUUCUGUCCUACGCUCAGGCUGCAGCAGAAAUGCUGACCAGGCACCCAGGUGCAGAUGGGCUCUGACCUCCAGGCUGCAAGGUUGAUCAUCCCAACCCUGCUCACUGUGGUGUCCCUUCACAUCGGGGCUCCAGCCCGUGCAAGCUAAGAACUCAAGCACUAUAUUGAACAAGCAUGGAGAGAGUGGACAUCCUUGUCUUUGUUCCUGACACAGAGAAGUCGAAUUGGUGCCUAGCUGGAAGUUUCACCCGUCCUGACCAGUGUUCAUCGUACUAGAAGGCACUCUGCAUACUACCAGAGGAAGGCAAUCAGCAGUACCACCCAGCUACAAGCCCUGUGACCUACAACAGCAACCUACUUGUAAGAUACACUGGCACAAUCGUGGCACAGAUGUUAUGGGAGUGACCAACCACCUGUCUAUUGCAUUUACGGUCCAUCGCUGUAGUAAUGGCCAGUUAAAUACUCAAAUUGGUCCUGGUGAUGGCGGCAGAGCUCUUCGCUACCUGCCCCGAUGUUUUCGGUUUUUGAAUCACACACACAC
rnacentral:sRNA from 1 species